rnacentral:misc_RNA from 1 species
AAGUCGUAACAAGGUUUCCGUAGGUGAACCUGCGGAAGGAUCAUUAUCGAAAAUAGUAUGACGAGUUGUCGCUGGCCCCUCCGUGCCGUGCACGCUCCGUCGUCCUUCAUUUCUCCAUCUAUCUUGUGCAUCGCUCGCGUCGACCUUAUGUGGGGACUGCUUUGCAAAAAAUCUUGCGGGCUUUCCUUGUCGUUCUUUUGGGUCUGCGGUUUAUUAUCUUCACACAUAUGUAUUCAGAAGGGAACAAUGGAAUGGCAUAAUACAACUUUCAGCAACGGAUCUCUUGGCUCUC